UACGUAGGGGGCAAGCGUUGUCCGGAUUUAUUGGGCGUAAAGAGCGUGUAGGCGGUUGGGUAGGUCCGUUGUGAAAACUCGAGGCUCAACCUCGAGACGCCGAUGGAAACCCCCCAGCUAGAGUCCGGAAGAGGAGAGUGGAAUUCCUGGUGUAGCGGUGAAAUGCGCAGAGUAUCGGGAAGAACACCCGUGGCGAAGGCGGUUCUCUGGGACGG
rnacentral:rRNA from 1 species